UUCAUUUAUGUAAUCUGCAGAAGAGAAA
rnacentral:piRNA from 1 species